UUUGGGGACAGGUGUCCGUGUCGCGCGUUUCGUGGGCCGGCGGUGUGGUCGGUGACUCGACCUCCCG
rnacentral:sRNA from 1 species